GCAUUGUUAGUUCAGUGGUAGAAUUCUUGCCUUCCAUGUAGGAGACCAGGAUUUGAUUCCUGGCCAAUGUA
rnacentral:tRNA from 1 species